CAACUCUCGAAUUCAAGCUUGCUUCUCCAUGUUGAGCGCUCCAACCUUCUGCUCCAGUAACUACUACACCACCAAAUUCUGCUUCAAACAUAUCCAUGUUAUCAAUUUCUUUGCAGAAAGCUUUUCUAAUCCCAGGACACUCCUAUAUAACAAAAGAGAAAGAGUAAGUCAGUGAGAAACUGAGCUAAGUUCUAUUAUUUCAACACAAGUACAUACAGCUAAGUUCACAAAAGAGAAAAUGAGAAACUGACCCUUUCGCGCUCUUUCCACCAAUCAUCUGACAUGUCGAUCCUUCCCAUGUUAUCAUACCCAAGUCCUGUCCUGUUCUGAGUCAGCAUCCUAAUCCUGAUGUAUUUCUUUCUACUGCUGUCGUACUUGUUCUUGUAGUCCCUCUUCCAAUCAGAAAAUCCCUUCUUAAACCUCAGCUCAAACGCAUCCAUGAUGUUCUUUUUCCCUACUUUAUUCAUUUGCUGACCAACUUUAUUUCCUUUUCUUUUCUCUUCCGCAUAGAGUUGGAAAAAAUACCUAGUUUCCUCAGGUUUCCAAUUCUAAAACACACCAAAACAAGACACAGACCCUUAAGCAUAUGACCUAAAAGACCUAAAGAGAGAUCCAUACAGCCUAAAGACAGUUCCAUACAACCUAAAGACAGUUCCAUACAUCCUAAAGACAGU
rnacentral:lncRNA from 1 species